rnacentral:rRNA from 1 species
AUUGAACGCUGGCGGAAGGCCUAACACAUGCAAGUCGAGCGAGCGGCGGACGGGUGAGUAAUGUCUGGGAAACUGCCUGAUGGAGGGGGAAAACUACUGGAAACGGUAGCUAAUACCGCAUACCAUCAGAAGUGCCUAAAAGGGAUUAGCUAGUAGGUGGUGUAACGGCUCACCUAGGCGACGAUCCUUAGCUGGUCUGAGAGGAUGACCAGCCACACUGGAACUAAGACACGGUCCAGACUCCUACGGGAAGCAGCAGUGGGGGAUAUUGCACAAUGGGCGCAAGCCUGAUGCAGCCAUGCCGCGUGUGUGAAGAAGGCCUUCGGGUUGUAAAGCACUUUCAGCGGGGAGGCGUUACCCGCAGAAGAAGCACCGGCUAACUCCGGGCCAGCAGCCGCGGUAAUUC